rnacentral:lncRNA from 1 species
GAGAAACAGAAAGCCGCGGCAAGAUUAGGAAGGGUUAGAUGCUUUCACAUUGCCAGGCUGGGCAGAAAGCUUAAAGGAAUCUACACCGAAAACUGACCCAGAAAGGUGAGGUACACUAACUUUCCCCGCGUAUCCUAAUUCAUUCACGUCACUGGAAGGCACUAAACUUCACAUUAUGCAGCAUAUCUUUGACUGAUCUCCCAAAGUGUCAUUUUCACUUAAAAGCUAGCACAGUCGUGCUGGUGGUGUGUUGCUGGGGAGGUGUGGGUAUGCACAGGUUUUUGUGUGAAUUGGAUUAGAGCAGCACUACAGGGGGAAGGAAGGACAACCUUUCCUCCCCGCCAUUUUCUGAAUUUAAAUUUCGCCCCCUCGGGGAGAAAAAUGCAGGUGCCUGUAUUUUCCCACAGUGAGCUACACAGCAGCUGAGGGGGAUUUUGACAGCACAUAGGACAGGGUUAAAUCCCUUUCCCCCAGCACUGAUGCUUCAAUCCAAUUUUGGGGCCUCUGAGGCGGCUGCUUAGUGAAAAUACAUUUGUUGGGAGAUCAGAGAUCUCGCACAUAAUAUGUAGUUUGGCCUUAAUAUUGUACUGUCUGCAGCUCAGAGGGUGGCCCCAAACUAGAUUUUAAAGCCUUAUUGCUUUUUUAUUUGCUAUUUAGUUUUCUUGCAGCUCAGCAUUACUCCUAGACCAUUUAAAUGCGCAAGCAUUUCUAGAGGGUUGUUUAUACAAACUAAGCAAUGGCUGUUUUCAACCUAAACUUCCCAUGGUCAGGAAUGUCAGCUUUAAAUAGCCAAACAAAGACAAAAGGCGCUUGUGCAUUUUGUUGUCCUGCUAUGCAAAAUGCCACCUUAUGCUUUGGGUUGGUUUUAUAUAUCUAUAUCUAUAUCUAUAUCUAUAUCUAUAUCUAUCUAUAUCUAUCUAUCUAUCUAUCUACCUAUCUAUCUAUCUAUCUAUAUUGUUUCUAACUGCCGUGGAAAAGAGGAAUAACCAAUACAUGAAGAAAUGAUGGGUUACCACUGAAAUUUAUGGAAAACCAUACACAGAAUUCUGUCUGAGUUUAAUUGGAAAUUUAAGGUGUCAUCCAAUAGUCCUUGGAAAAGCAUCUUGAGGGCCAUAGUGCAGAUGGGAUCUCCAUCUCUGACAUCAGGGAAAAAGAAAGUGUGGCAAUUCCACCUCUUUCUUCCCCUUCCCCUUCCUCUUCCUACUCCUCUCAUAAUUAUCAUGGUGAUUGAGGCUGCAAUUUUAUAAUCACUUAUCCUCUGACAUCAGGGAUGGAGCUCAGAGAUCAAAAUCCAGUGUUGGAUAUUAACCACCAGCCCUGUCACUUCUCGAUCCUCUGAAACCUUAGCCCAACCAACAUCAGGGUUCUGUCACUGACAGAGUCAAAGGGGUGACAUGGAUUACAGCUAGGGUGGGGAUGCCAGUAGCUGGGUGGACACAACGUUGAACACAUCAUCUACUGGAAGGAUAGGUCAGUUUCUCAAAUGUACACACCUGUGCUUUACUACAAAUUCAACAUGGCUACAAUUUUCAAGUUAGAUGAAAGCUGGUGGUGGGGGUAGGGAGCACGUUAAACAGCAAUAUUUCACAAGAAACUACAGAGUACCUUUAGAUUGUGGGUAAUGUAAUGUGUACAUGUAGGAGUGUGCUGAAGUCAGAGUAAACAGUAAUUUGCACACAUCCUUAGUUUAAGGUAGACUAUACACCAAUACCACCCAGGAUGCAAUAUUGCAAUAUGCCUUUCAAGAUACACACAAAAUACAAAUAAGCCAACUGGAAUAGACUCCUACUUCAAAUAUAAUUAGAACAAUUUAUCUUGAGGAAUUCCAUUAAUUGAAUGCACAAAUCUAGUGACACAGAAGUGUGUCAUUUGCUCUGUUGACUGUGCCAGAGCACUUGAACUAACUACCAUAAAGGAAGUACCAUAAAGAAGUUAGAUACCCUUUUCUGCACCUAGGAUUGAAUAUAUAUGUAUAAAAGAUAGAGUACAGACGCCUGUGCUGACACGACAUCACAAAAGAUAACAGCAUUAUGCUGACACUGCAGAAAGAGAUGUCAGUGCAGAGAUGCAAUAUCAGUGUGCAAAGCAACUUCUAGGCAAUUCUAGUUAAGGAGGUUUGUGUGCCAUUUCCACAAAUCUAAUCCCUAUAGAAGAAAAGGGCAGAUGCAAUACAGUGUCUACUCAAAAGUACAUCUCACUGACUUCCAGGUCAUAUGCACAGAAUUGCAGCCUUACAGUGCAAGCCUACGUAUAGCACUUCAAUGAGUUCAACAAACCCAUUGAGUUCCAUACAUUUACUCCCAGGGAAGUGGGUAUAGGAUUGCAGCUUUAGUCUCUGCUGGUUUUUCACAAGUCCACACCAGUGCAGGCAUUCCAUGUUUGUGGCUGGCUCCCCAUGGUAAGCAUGUGGGCUUUGCAAAAUAAAGCUACUUGCCUUUUUCUAUAAUAUACACCACACCCAACUGUGUGCCAUGUUUAAGGUAUAUUUAUUUUUUUAAAGGAGAAAAUAAAACAUCAAAUUUAUCAAGAAUGCAGCAGCUAGGUGGCUACUGUCUGGUACAAACCAAGACAGGUAAUAUUAUAACUAUUUCAUGCCAGCUUCACUUGUUAUAUCUUUGUUUCGGGAUUCAGUCCAAGGCAUUUGUUUUACAGCACAGUCCAGUACAUGCCUAAAGGGCACCCCCAAGGAAUACUUAAGCCAAAGGCUGUGGGAGGUGAUCAAAGAGGGCCCUUAACCCAAUAAUACCUUGGGUAUAACCAAUCAAAAUGUCCUCACAUGCUCAUGCCAACUUAAGCCACUCCAAGCCAAUUAGAAUUACCCUACAGUGUGAUGCAGGCAAAAAAAGAGGUGUUCCAAAGGCCAAUCAGUGGCUUCCCCCAAAAAUUCCUACUCUGCCCCAUAAACAAUGACUAGCAAAGCCUACACUAUAUAGGGAGGGAAGGUGCUGCCAGAAUAGAAGAGAAGCAGCAGCUGGAGGGCAGCCACCCAUUCCCAGUUGGAUACUAAAACCCAUGUCUCUCAUAACAACUUCUGUUCCAGGAUAAACUGCACAAGGCCUGACCCAGGAGGGGUGUGUGUGUGGCAAAUUCAGCCCCACUCUAGAGUGGGAGCGGCAUAUUCCCAGCAUCUGUUCUCUUUCAGCUUGCAGUGAAAGAAAAGAGCGUUGUCCAGUGAUCACCAACUUGAAAAUGAAGACUCUAAAGGGAAUAAGAUUGUGGCGGUUGAUUCAAGAGAAAAUUAGAGUUUAUUUACAAUCUGCACUUGAAUGGAUUUUCUUUAAUGGAUUUCCUCAGUGUAGUUUACAGGAGCAGGUCUCAUAAUGGCAAGGGUGCUGUUUAAACAAGCAAUAAAAUUUAUUAACUUCUAGAAGCAUCCAAAUGCUCCUCCAAGGCCCAGAACGCUACAAAAGCAUUACUCAGAACACAAAUCAGAG